rnacentral:tRNA from 1 species
GCCUGGUGGCUCAGUUGGUAGAGCAUGUGACUCCUGAUCUUAGGGUCCUGAGUUCAAAUCCCACAUUGGGCA